rnacentral:rRNA from 1 species
CCUGAUGCAGCAACGCCGCGUGAGGUAUGAAGGCCUUUGGGUGUGUGAAGCCUCUGUCCUAGGGGAAGAAAAAAAUGACGGUACCCGAGGAGGAAGCCCCGGCUAACUACGUGCCAGCAGCCGCGGUAAUACGUAGGGGGCAAGCGUUAUCCGGAAUUAUUGGGCGUAAAGAGUGCGUAGGUGGUCUACUAAGCGCGAGGUGAAAGGCAAUGGCUCAACCAUUGUUAGCCUUGUGAACUGGCAGACUUGAGUGCAAGAGAGGAAAGCGGAAUUCCUAGUGUAGCGGUGAAAUGCGCAGAUAUUAGGAGGAACACCGGCGGCGAAGGCGGCUUUCUGGAUUGUAACUGACACUGAGGCACGAAAGCGUGGGUAGCAAACAGGAUUAGAUACCCUGGUAGUCCACGCCGUAAACGAUGAGCACUAGGUGUCGGGACAUGAGUCUCGGUGCCGCAGUUAACGCAAUAAGUGCUCCGCCUGGGGAGUACGCACGCAAGUGUAAAACUCAAAGGAAUUGACGGGGACCCGCACAAGCAGCGGAGCAUGUGGUUUAAUUCGAAGCA